CGGGAAAAGCUCAAAUUUGAAAGCUUGCAGCAAUGCACGCGUUGUAAUCUCGAGAAGUGUUUUCCGCGCUGGACCAUGGAGAAGUUCCUUGGAAUAGGAUGUCAUAGAGGGUGAGAACCCCGUCUUUGCCAUGGACGCCCAGUGCUUUGUGAUACACUUUCGAA
rnacentral:rRNA from 1 species